rnacentral:lncRNA from 1 species
UUGAUGGGUAGAUGGUAACAUCAUGUCUAUUCAUCAUUACUCAGCAGACCUGGUUCCAUCAGAUGUGACUGCCCUUCAGGCCUUACAGAAGGGACAUAUUCUGUAUUAAAUGAGUAGAUGACAGAAACCCCGUGAGAGAAAGAGUGAGCCGAGAAGGCGGCAAAUCCCCUGCUGUUGGGUGAGUGUGCACUGUGGCAGCUUUGGUGGCCUGUAAGAGGAACCAUGGAUGAGCAAUCCCCACCUUCAAAUGUAGCAAAGGGCAGAGGGUGGACACGUCACCCAGACCCCCAAA